rnacentral:pre_miRNA from 1 species
AUGCUACUCCCUCCGUCCCAAAAUUCUUGUCUUAGAUUCGUCUACAUACGGAUGUAUCUAAUACUAAAACGUGACUUGAUACAUCCGUAUUUAGAUAAAUCUAAGACAAGAAUUUUGGGACGGAGGGAGUAUUUC